UUGAACGCUGGCGGCAUGCCUUACACAUGCAAGUCGAACGGCAGCACGGGAGAAAUCCUGGUGGCGAGUGGCGAACGGGUGAGUAACAUAUCGGAACGUGCCCAUCAGUGGGGGAUAGCCGGCGAAAGCCGGAUUAAUACCGCAUACGACCUACGGGUGAAAGCAGGGGAUCGCAAGACCUUGCGCUAUUGGAGCGGCCGAUAUCAGAUUAGCUUGUUGGNGGGGUAAGAGCCUACCAAGGCGACGAUCUGUAGCUGGUCUGAGAGGACGACCAGCCACACUGGGACUGAGACACGGCCC
rnacentral:rRNA from 1 species